rnacentral:rRNA from 1 species
GUGAGUAACACGUGAGUAACCUGCCCCUGACUCUGGGAUAAGCGUUGGAAACGACGUCUAAUACUGGAUAUGACUACUGGUCGCAUGGCCUGGUGGUGGAAAGAUUUUUUGGUUGGGGAUGGACUCGCGGCCUAUCAGCUUGUUGGUGAGGUAAUGGCUCACCAAGGCGACGACGGGUAGCCGGCCUGAGAGGGUGACCGGCCACACUGGGACUGAGACACGGCCCAGACUCCUACGGGAGGCAGCAGUGGGGAAUAUUGCACAAUGGGCGAAAGCCUGAUGCAGCAACGCCGCGUGAGGGAUGACGGCCUUCGGGUUGUAAACCUCUUUUAGUAGGGAAGAAGCGAAAGUGACGGUACCUGCAGAAAAAGCACCGGCUAACUACGUGCCAGCAGCCGCGGUAAUACGUAGGGUGCAAGCGUUGUCCGGAAUUAUUGGGCGUAAAGAGCUCGUAGGCGGUUUGUCGCGUCUGCUGUGAAAUCCCGAGGCUCAACCUCGGGCUUGCAGUGGGUACGGGCAGACUAGAGUGCGGUAGGGGAGAUUGGAAUUCCUGGUGUAGCGGUGGAAUGCGCAGAUAUCAGGAGGAACACCGAUGGCGAAGGCAGAUCUCUGGGCCGUAACUGACGCUGAGGAGCGAAAGCGUGGGGAGCGAACAGGAUUAGAUACCCUGGUAGUCCACGCCGUAAACGUUGGGCGCUAGAUGUAGGGACCUUUCCACGGUUUCUGUGUCGUAGCUAACGCA